rnacentral:rRNA from 1 species
UACGAAGGGGGCUAGCGUUGCUCGGAAUUACUGGGCGUAAAGAGCACGUAGGCGGCUUUCUAAGUCGGGGGUGAAAUCCUGGAGCUCAACUCCAGAACUGCCUUCGAUACUGGAGAGCUCGAGUCCGGGAGAGGUGAGUGGAACUGCGAGUGUAGAGGUGAAAUUCGUAGAUAUUCGCAAGAACACCAGUGGCGAAGGCGGCUCACUGGCCCGGUACUGACGCUGAGGUGCGAAAGCGUGGGGAGCAAACAGG